UUUGCAGUGGCGGCUGCUAUACAUGCAGUCGAACGCUUCUUUUUCCACCGGAGCUUGCUCCACCGGAAAAAGAGGAGUGGCGAACGGGUGAGUAACACGUGGGUAACCUGCCCAUCAGAAGGGGAUAACACUUGGAAACAGGUGCUAAUACCGUAUAACAAUCAAAACCGCAUGGUUUUGAUUUGAAAGGCGCUUUCGGGUGUCGCUGAUGGAUGGACCCGCGGUGCAUUAGCUAGUUGGUGAGGUAACGGCUCACCAAGGCCACGAUGCAUAGCCGACCUGAGAGGGUGAUCGGCCACAUUGGGACUGAGACACGGCCCAAACUCCUACGGGAGGCAGCAGUAGGGAAUCUUCGGCAAUGGACGAAAGUCUGACCGAGCAACGCCGCGUGAGUGAAGAAGGUUUUCGGAUCGUAAAACUCUGUUGUUAGAGAAGAACAAGGAUGAGAGUAACUGUUCAUCCCUUGACGGUAUCUAACCAGAAAGCCACGGCUAACUACGUGCCAGCAGCCGCGGUAAUACGUAGGUGGCAAGCGUUGUCCGGAUUUAUUGGGCGUAAAGCGAGCGCAGGCGGUUUCUUAAGUCUGAUGUGAAAGCCCCCGGCUCAACCGGGGAGGGUCAUUGGAAACUGGGAGACUUGAGUGCAGAAGAGGAGAGUGGAAUUCCAUGUGUAGCGGUGAAAUGCGUAGAUAUAUGGAGGAACACCAGUGGCGAAGGCGGCUCUCUGGUCUGUAACUGACGCUGAGGCUCGAAAGCGUGGGGAGCAAACAGGAUUAGAUACCCUGGUAGUCCACGCCGUAAACGAUGAGUGCUAAGUGUUGGAGGGUUUCCGCCCUUCAGUGCUGCAGCUAACGCAUUAAGCACUCCGCCUGGGCAGUACGACCGCAAGGUUGAAACUCAAAGGAAUUGACGGGAGCCCGCACAAGCGGUGGAGCAUGUGGUUUAAUUCGAAGCAACGCGAAGAACCUUACCAGGUCUUGACAUCCUUUGACCACUCUAGAGAUAGAGCUUCCCCUUCGGGGGCAAAGUGACAGGUGGUGCAUGGUGUCGUCAGCUCGUGUCGUGAGAUGUUGGGUUAAGUCCCGCAACGAGCGCAACCCUUAUUGUUAGUUGCCAUCAAUUCAGUUGGGCAA
rnacentral:rRNA from 1 species